rnacentral:rRNA from 1 species
UACGGGGGGAGCAAGCGUUGUUCGGAUUACUGGGCGUAAAGGGCGCGUAGGCGGUCAGCACAAGUCAGUUGUGAAAUCUCCGGGCUUAACUCGGAAAAGGUCAACUGAUACUGUGCGACUAGAGUGCGGAAGGGGCAACUGGAAUUCCGACGUGUAGCAGUGAAAUGCGUAGAUAUGCGGAGGAACACCGAUGGCGAAGGCAAUCCCCUGGGCCUGCACUGACGCUCAUGCACGAAAGCGUGGGGAGCAAACAGG